UGGGGAAUAUUGGACAAUGGGCGCAAGCCUGAUCCAGCCAUGCCGCGUGAGUGAUGAAGGCCCUAGGGUUGUAAAGCUCUUUCACCGGUGAAGAUAAUGACGGUAACCGGAGAAGAAGCCCCGGCUAACUUCGUGCCAGCAGCCGCGGUAAUACGAAGGGGGCUAGCGUUGUUCGGAUUUACUGGGCGUAAAGCGCACGUAGGCGGACUAUUAAGUCAGGGGUGAAAUCCCGGGGCUCAACCCCGGAACUGCCUUUGAUACUGGUAGUCUUGAGUUCGAGAGAGGUGAGUGGAAUUCCGAGUGUAGAGGUGAAAUUCGUAGAUAUUCGGAGGAACACCGGUGGCGAAGGCGGCUCACUGGCUCGAUACUGACGCUGAGGUGCGAAAGCGUGGGGAGCAAACAGG
rnacentral:rRNA from 1 species